rnacentral:rRNA from 1 species
AACGAACGCUGGCGGCAGGCCUAACACAUGCAAGUCGAGCGCCCCCUUCAGAGCACGGAAUACGGAAUACGGGUAUCGGAAGUGAGAACUUUCUGAUCCCUGUUUUCGGUAUUCCGUUUUCUGAUGGGGGAGCGGCGGACGGGUGAGUAACGCGUGGGAAUUUUCCUCAAGGUAGGGAACAACUCAGGGAAACUUGGGCUAAUACCCUAUGAUGCCGGGAGGCCAAAGAUUUAUCGCCUUGGGAUGAGCCCGCGUCAGAUUAGGUAGUUGGUGGGGUAACGGCUUACCAAGCCUGCGAUCUGUAGCUGGUCUGAGAGGACGAUCAGCCACACUGGGACUGAGACACGGCCCAGACUCCUACGGGAGGCAGCAGUGGGGAAUCUUGCGCAAUGGGCGAAAGCCUGACGCAGCCAUGCCCGCGUGAAUGAUGAAGGUCUUAGGUAUUGUUAAAGUUCUUUCCGCCCGUGACGAUGAUGACGGUAACGGGAGAA